AGAAUUAUUUUUAUCAUUAUUCGUGGGUUCAAAAUGACAACGACAAGUGUUCACACACGUGUUUUAAUGUUUUUAUUCACCUACCUACCAAAGUUAUUUUAAUUAAUUUUGUCUAGUGUCAACGUUGAAUCAUAUAUUUGGCGCAUUGAACUGGUAAAUAGCAAUUGAUGCACGGUUUGCGCUAACAAGGUUAUUUCCUCAUCCCCCUAUACCUCAGUGGUGGGUGAGGAAAACGUGUAUUUCCGUUGUAGUUAAUUUUAGUUUUACUACCGCCUGUCUGAUAUCAAUACUAUUUAGGAAUGCUUUGGAUUUUCAAGGCGGGUUAAGUGCACCAAUAAUGUGAAACUGAAGAUAAUAUUGCGGAUGUGUGAUAAGAGGAAAUUAUAAUGACGCUAAUUGCUAGAGGAGGCCGAUGCUUAGUUUUAUGUCAACGUGAUGCAGCCCGUGGCCGAGGAAGAGGUGGGCGUGGUGGCGGUCAACGUGUCCGAACGCGUGGUUGUAGUCGCCACCAAGCCCGGCCUUUGACCUCUGAAUCACUUCAAUCGAUGGUCAUUGAAGAGUUGCCACCCGGCCAACCACAGGAGAACCCACGGCACCCUAAGAGGGUAAGGGUGCUCUCUCCUAUGGUCGCGAAACACCCAGGAUCGGAAUUGUAGAGACCGGACCUUCCGACUUCGGACCUGGAUGCUUCAGUGCCAUCACCUGCCCUAUGGCCGAUCCUCCUACGAGGUCCCCGCGCAAAAGGAGCGCGCGGGGUAUGUGAGACUCAACGGUCUGCAUGGUGUUGUGAGCAGACCGCGGGCCCAAGGAUUUUAGGAAUGGGGCUGAGACCUGGAUCUUGAAAGAGUCUGACAGGCGACGCACAGACGCGUUUGAGAUGUGGUGCUGGCGGCGCAUGUUGCGCAUCCCUUGGACGGCUUUCCGGACGAACGCUUCCAUCCUCAACGAGCUAAAACUUGACCAAAGGCUAUCCACCAAAUGUCUAUAUAGAGUGCUCCAAUACUUUGGUCAUAUAGCAAGAAAACCCUCUGACAACCUGGAGAGACUCAUAGUGACGGGUAAAGUGGAUGGAAGACGAUCCAGAGAUCGUAGUUGGAAAAGAUGGAGUGACCAAGUGUCUGAGUGUCUGGACAUGAGACUGAGCCACGCACUUCACUGUGCCACUGACCGACAUAAGUGGCUAAAAAUUACAAAAAAAGGUCACAGGCGGGCGCAUCACGAUGCUCAGCAAUGAGCGAUCGACUGAAGGAGGAGGAGGAGGAUAACCUAUUUUAUAAAUAAAUAAUGAAAAAUAUACUACAGAAACUAAAUUUUUGAGCCAUUAAAUUUAUUAAAUUUUUAUUCAAUAAUUAUUGGUUAGUUCAAAAUCAAAGAAAAACUUGAAUUUUGAGAUGAGGUGCCUUAGUUGAUUUUUUUAUUUUAUUUUGUACUCAUUUCUUAAAACAUUUUUUUUGUAGAUACUUAAAAUCCUGGGCCCAGCACUAGCGGGGCCAGCACCCCGGUCAUGGAGCGGCCCGGCACUAGCGGGACCAGCACCCCAGCCACCGAGCGGCCUGUUAUCCCUUCGUCCUCUCGACCUCUUCCUCCUCCUCGCGAAGACGAAAUUAUGGCUCUGCUGAAUUAUGGCAGCGAAGAGGACUCUGAGGGAGAGGACGAAGAUAUUCUGCAGCCGCCGUUGGUUCCCCGGUCGACCAGGAUGUGGCUGGACGAAGAGGAUGAGGAAGUUGUACCAGAAGCGUAGAGGCUUAGUAUUAAUUUGGAGUGGCCUCAACCUCUUCGUCCAUCCACGUCUGCCCCAAUGGACGCCUCACUGACGUCAACAUUAGAACCUAAGGAUAAAUUUAAGUUCGAAUGGAGAAAUAUAUCGAUGCCUCAAAUAGAACCUCAUUUAAGGCGAGAACCUUUCUCCGAAAUUAGUGGUCCAUCGGUUUAUUUCGCGACUCCGUACGAAGCAUUUAUUGCCAUAUGGGGUCGUGAAAUUAUGGAAGUGAUAGUCAAGGAAACCAACAUUUAUGUACAGCAGCUGGCAACGGUCAUGUUGGCGAGUGGGACGAUCGGCCCUCAUAACCGGAUUACUCGGAUGGCAAGAUACGAAUGUAAACAAACUUUAUACGUAUUUUGCCAUCGUUCUGGCUAUGGGGGUGGUCAUCAAAAGCCGUUUAGAGGACUAUUGGAAUACCGCGAGGGACAUUUUUAUACUCUGGGCCUCUCCGCGGAGAUGUCAUAUGACCGUUUCCAGCUGUUGUCCAAAUGCCUGCACUUUAAUAACAACGAAUAUUGUGACAUUACAAUGUUGACACGACGCCAGGCCAAGCUCUAUAAAAUACAGCCAAUAGUAGACCAUUUAAAUACAAAAUUUGCGGAGCUGUACAAUUUGAGUCAGAAUUUAGCAGUGGAUGAGAGUUUGACGAUGUAGAAGGGCUGGCUUGAUAUGAGCCAGUUCAUUCCUAACAAGACAGUGACAAUUGGGAUCAAAACUUAUGAAGUGUGUGAAUCGCAGAGUGGUUACCUGUGGCAGUUUGAAGUUCACGCAGGCCAUGACAUCUCGGCUUCACAGGACGAUUCAAUAUCUGGCACAGUACCAGCUCUCGUGCUCAGACUUUUUAGUGGUCUUGAGCAUAAAGGGCACACAAUAUGGAUGGAUAAUUUUUAUAACUCUCCAGCGCUAGCCCGAGAACUUAAGACCCACGGCUUUGACUGUGUGGGCACACUGUGGACUAACCGACAAUUUGUGCUGUACGAAUUGACGUCUCUUACAAAAAAGGAUAUGACAGUCGGUCAAGUGAUGUACCUCGGGAGAUGUGGAUCUUUUGGUGUGGAAAGAUAAAAACCGGGUGGCUUUUAUUUCCACAUACCAUGGUCUCGCAUCUGUUAGGUUUUAGGAAAGACUGAAGUCGACUGUCGCUUGCGAUUAUAAUGUUUAUAUAGGCGAAGUAGACCCCAAGGACCAGCAGCUCGCGAUGUACCCCAUAGAAAGAAGAACGACAAGAGCUUGGUACAAGAAGUUGUUUAGAAGGCUCUUAAACGCUAGUGUCUUGAACUCACACAUACUACACCAAGAUCAUUCGUUUUCACACCGUAAAUUCCGGACGGUGUUGAUCACUCAAUUAUUGACUAGACAUAGAAAGCAUCCUCCACCUAGCACACAACUCACACCAAAACAAGUGCAUCGCCCGGCACAGUAUGACAUGAUCAAGGGCGGAAAAUCUGACCCCCUUAGGCGAACAUGUAUCGUCUGCUCCAAGCGGACUAAUUCAUAUUGUAGAGCCUGUAACCAGCCAAUGUGCACCUACUCCUGCUACGGGACACACCACGCCACACACUGACACUUUACCGCUCAUUGACACUUUUUAUACACACACGCGCACGCACACAUACAGGGUAUAUAGGCACUAGUGUUAAAGAUAUUUCUAUUGCCCUUGUAGCCAGACGAGCAUACCUGAUGGUGAGUGGUUACCAUAAAAGUUGCGACGAGCAUACCUGGUGGUAAGUGGUUACCGUAAAAAGUUGGUGGUUUGUUAUUGUUACCAUUCAUAUUGUUGCACAGUACUAAAAAAUGCUGCAUGUGUUGUACUUUUUUUGUUAUUUGCCGAGUUAUGGCCAGCGUCGUGUCAACAAUGGAAUUCACAAUUAAUUAUUAAAGUUGGCACAUAAAUUAAGUAUCAAUUGGAUCAUUGUGGGUGUUGGGUUAUUGUAUUUCACAAUUUAAUAUAAGUGCGAUCUUUUAACUGUAUGGUAUCUAGGUAAGAUUAAUUGUAAGUUACCUAGUUGUUAAAAUUUUUUUUCAUCACCAAAUCACUAAAAAACAUGUUUAUUUGACCUAUCAAUCAAAUAGGUUCGAAAAAAAAGCCAAAUAAUAGGGAUUAUUUUUAUUUUGAAUAAGUCCAUGAAGAAAUCCAUACUUAUUGACCAUUCGUUGUUAUUUUUUCACUAUAUUUAGGAUUUAUUUUUGUUGGAAUUGGUUGUCAUUGGAAUCAAUGCCCAGUUUCAUGUAAAUCUUGAAUAAUUAAUUAUUAUAGCACUUGCAAGCAUAUAUUCUGCAAAAUCUUAGUUUUUAUGAGACACUGUUGUUUGUACUAAUUUUGAGUGUCAUAUUUGAGACGUUCAUAUUCAAAAUCUGUAAAAUAAAACAAAGUGUCAUUGCUUAAAAUAGCUUGGCGAUAAGCUCAAAUUAUUGUAAACAAAACAUUCUUUGGCCCUGACGCCAAGAACAUAAUAAAAACAAAUGAGUUACGAGAGCCACUCGAGAGACAUUUGACGAGGGUCGUUUUUGUGUAAACACGUGCAGUAUAAAAAGAAUGUACUGGAACAUGUGGCGGUUUGCCUUUUAUUUUAUCACGUAGGUUAGUUUGCUUAAUAAAUAUAUAAUAUUACAUCCA